rnacentral:tRNA from 1 species
GCGAUCGUAGCUCAGUUGGUUAGAGCGCUGGAUUGUGAUUCCAGAGGUCGCGGGUUCAACCCCCGUCGUUCGCCCCA